rnacentral:rRNA from 1 species
UACGAAGGGGGCUAGCGUUGUUCGGAAUCACUGGGCGUAAAGCGCACGUAGGCGGAUCUUUAAGUCAGAGGUGAAAGCCUGGAGCUCAACUCCAGAACUGCCUUUGAUACUGGCAAUCUCGAGUCCGGAAGAGGUGAGUGGAACUCCUAGUGUAGAGGUGGAAUUCGUAGAUAUUAGGAAGAACACCAGUGGCGAAGGCGGCUCACUGGUCCGGUACUGACGCUGAGGUGCGAAAGCGUGGGGAGCAAACAGG